GCAACGAGCGCAACCCUCGCCCUUAGUUGCCAGCAUUUAGUUGGGCACUCUAAGGGGACUGCCGGUGAUAAGCCGAGAGGAAGGUGGGGAUGACGUCAAGUCCUCAUGGCCCUUACGGGCUGGGCUACACACGUGCUACAAUGGUGGUGACAGUGGGCAGCGAGCACGCGAGUGUGAGCUAAUCUCCAAAAGCCAUCUCAGUUCGGAUUGCACUCUGCAACUCGAGUGCAUGAAGUUGGAAUCGCUAGUAAUCGCGGAUCAGCAUGCCGCGGUGAAUACGUUCCCGGGCCUU
rnacentral:rRNA from 1 species